AAUGAGUUUUGGCUUGGAUCUUAAAUGUCUCAUGGAGGUGUGAGAAGCGUGGGCGCCACCCGGUGCCUGGGCACUACCAGGUGUGUGGGCGCCACCCGGUGCGUGGGCACUGAGGGGACCUGUGAAGCCUUUAAGAGGCGGUUCUAUUUGGAAGGGAGGUGGGCGGCAUCUGCAGGCUCUGGCUCCUCCUCUAGCACUUUGUCCUCAGAACACCUGACCAGCUUGCCUCUUCUCUGCCAAGAGAAAGCAACGGAGACAGUCAAUCAUGGAUGAAACUCCCCUCCAUCUUGACUGUAUACAGGUAGCAGCCCUGUGUCUACGCCUAUAGAGUUCCCUCCAUCUCUGCUGGAUAAUGACAGCUGCAGCUCGUAACUCCAAGUACCGCUGCCUCUCUAAGUGAGCACGCCAGGAUGCUUGAAGAAGGGAAGCUGCACUAGCCAUGAUGAAAGCAUCUUUCUCCACAGCCGCAUUUCUAACUUGCUUCUGAUUUAGAUAGUUCCUCCAGAAUCGCUAAGGGAAAUGAAAAGAGAAAAUGGCUGUCACAUUACCACUUGUUAAAUAGAAGAGUAAAAUGGCUCUUUCAUAUGGAGAAUCCCUUUCUCAUCCUACCUGAAUAAUAACAGACGCCUGUCUCAAGUGAAGGAACUGCUGCCUAGAGAGCAAGACCCUGAACCACCGCUGCAGCAGUAUGAUUCUGCGAAGCACUUCCUGAUGAAGCAGAUCCUCUUCCCUGAAAGCAACCACAGCUCUAAAAAAUGCUCGGAGAACUGCCCAUCGGAAAACAGCUACAGGAUCAAUGCCAGUCAUC